GUGCUCACUUCGGCAGCACAUAUACUAAAAUUGAAACGAUACAGAAAAGAUUAGCAUGGCCCCUGAACAAGGAUGACAUGCAAAUUCGUGAAGCAUUCCAUAUUUUA
ensembl:snRNA U6 U6 spliceosomal RNA